rnacentral:rRNA from 1 species
ACGGAUCGGUGACAGGUGGUGCAUGGUUGUCGCAGCUCGUGUCGUGAGAUGUUGGGUUAAGUCCCGCAACGAGCGCAACCCCUAUUGUUAGUUGCCAUCAUUCAGUUGGGCACUCUAGCGAGACUGCCGGUAAUAAACCGGAGGAAGGUGGGAUGACGUCAAAUCAUCAUGCCCCUUAUGACCUGGGCUACACACGUGCUACAAUGGUUGGUACAACGAGUUGCGAGUCGGUGACGGCGAGCUAAUCUCUUAAAGCCAAUCUCAGUUCGGAUUGUAGGCUGCAACUCGCCUACAUGAAGUCGGAAUCGCUAGUAAUCGCGGAUCAGCACGCCGCGGUGAAUACGUUCCCGGGCCUU